rnacentral:misc_RNA from 1 species
GUAGGUGAACCUGCGGAAGGAUCAUUACCGAGAUUUUUCCAUGCUUGUCAUGGAAUCUCCCACCCUUUGUGUUACUUACAUUAUUACUUUGGUGAAGCGUGCUCUUGUUGUUUAGGCAGCAGAGUCCAUUGGUUUUGAUUGAUCUCGUUUUUGAUUUUGCAAGAAAUCCAAGUUCUGAGAUUUGAUUGAAACGGGUGAGCCUUCACCAAAGGAACCACAACUCUUAUUUUUAUCAAUUGUCUGAGUUUAU